CAGGGGUCCGCCCCCGCCCGUUUCCCGCCCUCGGCGGCUCUGAGGGGCCGUGAGGGGAGCGGGGGGGGGGCGGAUCUGAGGGUUCCUCGUCACGGAGAUGCUCCAGUCCCUUCAUCGCCCUCGCAGCCUCCACUGGACCCGCUCCAUGUCCCUCCUGUCCUGAGGAGCCCGGAACUGGACGCAGAUUCCAUAGUGUUUCAUCUGGGGCUGGCUCUCGGUGUUGCACACUCUGACUCUCCAGCUUCCCACAGCCCAGGCCCAGCAGCAGCAGACAAGGGUGAGGCAGCAGCUGGAGAAACCCCUGGACAAUGCUCGGACACCCUCGUGGCGUUUUUUUUGGUUUUGAGGUCUCCACCCAGGCAGUGAACUCCACGUGACCCCUCCCAACAGCACUACUGGUUUGUUUAAUCAGCGAUUAAACUGGAAUUUUACUUCCAUUUCCAAACA